rnacentral:rRNA from 1 species
GAUGAACGCUGGCGGUAUGCCUAACACAUGCAAGUCGUACGAGAGUUUUUAACUCUAGUGGCGGACGGGUGAGUAACACGUGAGAAUUUGCCUUUAGGAGGGGGAUAACAAUUGGAAACGAAUGCUAAUACCCCAUAUGCUUUUGAGUGAAAUGGAUUUUAUCCGCCUAGAGAGAAGCUCGCGGCUGAUUAGCUUGUUGGUAAGGUAAGAGCUUACCAAGGCGACGAUCAGUAUCUGGUUUGAGAGGACGAUCAGACACACUGGAACUGAGACACGGUCCAGACUCCUACGGGAGGCAGCAGUGGGGAAUUUCCGCAAUGGGCGAAAGCCUGAUGGAGCAAUGCCGCGUGGAGGAAGAAGGCCUGUGGGUCGUAAACUCCGUUUCUCAGAGAAGAAGAUCUGACGGUAUCUGAGGAAUAAGCUCGGCUAACUUCGUGU